rnacentral:rRNA from 1 species
CCUACGGGGGGCUGCAGUGAGGAAUAUUGGUCAAUGGACGAGAGUCUGAACCAGCCAAGUAGCGUGAAGGAUGACUGCCCUAUGGGUUGUAAACUUCUUUUAUAUGGGAAUAAAAUGUUCCACGUGUGGGAUUUUGUAUGUACCAUUUGAAUAAGGAUCGGCUAACCCCGUGCCAGCAGCCGCGGUAAUACGGAGGAUCCGAGCGUUAUCCGGAUUUAUUGGGUUUAAAGGGAGCGUAGGUGGAUUGUUAAGUCAGGUGUGAAAGUUUGCGGCUCAACCGUAAAAUUGCAGUUGAAACUGGCAGUCUUGAGUACAGUAGAGGUGGGCGGAAUUCGUGGUGUAGCGGUGAAAUGCUUAGAGAUCACGAAGAACUCCGAUUGCGAAGGCAGUUCACUGGACUGCAACUGACACUGAGGCUCGAAAGUGUGGGUAUCAAACAGGAUUAGAUACCCCAGUAGUC